UACGUAGGGUGCAAGCGUUAAUCGGAAUUACUGGGCGUAAAGCGUGCGCAGGCGGCUUUGCAAGACAGAUGUGAAAUCCCCGGGCUUAACCUGGGAACUGCAUUUGUGACUGCAUGGCUGGAGUGCGGCAGAGGGGGAUGGAAUUCCGCGUGUAGCAGUGAAAUGCGUAGAGAUCUGGAGGAACACCGAUGGCGAAGGCAGCCCCCUGGGCUAACACUGACGCUCAUGCACGAAAGCGUGGGGAGCAAACAGG
rnacentral:rRNA from 1 species